rnacentral:rRNA from 1 species
GAUGAACGCUGGCGGCGUGCCUAAUACAUGCAAGUCGAGCGAACAGACGAGGAGCUUGCUCCUCUGACGUUAGCGGCGGACGGGUGAGUAACACGUGGAUAACCUACCUAUAAGACUGGGAUAACUUCGGGAAACCGGAGCUAAUACCGGAUAAUAUAUUGAACCGCAUGGUUCAAUAGUGAAAGACGGUUUUGCUGCCACUUAUAGAUGGAUCCGCGCCGCAUUAGCUAGUUGGUAAGGUAACGGCUUACCAAGGCAACGAUGCGUAGCCGACCUGAGAGGGUGAUCGGCCACACUGGAACUGAGACACGGUCCAGACUCCUACGGGAGGCAGCAGUAGGGAAUCUUCCGCAAUGGGCGAAAGCCUGACGGAGCAACGCCGCGUGAGUGAUGAAGGUCUUCGGAUCGUAAAACUCUGUUAUUAGGGAAGAGCAAAUGUGUAAGUAACUAUGCACGUCUUGACGGUACCUAAUCAGAAAGCCACGGCUAACUACGUG